AAGACCGUACUUUUACAGGAUCAUUUCUAUAGUACUCUCUAUUCUACUUUCUUUCCAAAAGUAGACAAUUUCAAUAACUUUGAUGAUCGUAUUCGACUUCAUUCAUUGACUCGGGAUGUCGGUGGUUGCAGUGCUGGGUUCUCUUUUGGACUCGGCCUCCCCUAGUGAUGAACGUCCGCUGUCGCUAUUCCAAGGCAGCGUGAGUGAGUGGAGUGAUAUGAGAAGUU
rnacentral:snoRNA from 1 species